UGGCCCUUCAGGAGGCUGCAGAGGCCUACCUGGUCGGUCUCUUCGAGGACACCAACCUGUGCGCCAUCCAUGCCAAGCGGGUGACCAUCAUGCCCAAGGACAUUCAGCUGGCUAGGAGGAUCCGUGGCGAGAGGGCUUAAGGUGCUGUGCUUGCCUUGCCUGUGGGAAUCGCUCUGGUGGGCAUCUGUGUCUGCUUUUGCUGCUGAACACUUAUCAUGUGUCGUGAACUACUAAUACUGGUCGUGUGUAGUAAUGUCAGUAGCGUACUCUGUGCCAUACUAUGUUCGUAGAGCUGGAUCAUUUGUUCGUUGGUCGUCUUAAAUCAUCCACCUGGUGGGUGCUUAUCUGAACCUUGCAUUUUAUGUCUGAAAAUUAGUGAUUGUGUGAACUAUUAUUAUGUUCUUGUGUCUCGUUUUAUUUGUAUCUCUGCCGUGCAAGUAUGAAUUGGGAUGCAUCUGUGCUAGUAGCUGAACUGUUAUUAGUUAGGUAGCUGGCAAGGGAAAUUUCUGUUCACAGAA
rnacentral:lncRNA from 1 species